GUGCUCACUUCGGCAGCAUAUACACUAAAAUUGGAGUGAUACAGAGAUUAGCUUGGCCCCUGCCCAAGGGUGACAUGCAAAUUCAUGAAACAUUCCAUAUUUUU